GCGAGAUUUGCAUUAAUGACGCGUUAUCUUUCUAUUUCACUGUGAUUAUGUAUUGUGAAAGUAAGCAAAUGAUUGAAUAAACGUACCUUUCUUCUAUAUCAUUGAAUUUACGUCGAUUUGAUCUACGCUACCUCGUAGAAAAAGGUUAUGUGAUGUUAUUCAAUGAAAAAAAGAAGUUGCGAAGUGAAGUUUGCAUUGAAAGUUCAUUCAGUACAUCAGCAAUUUAAAUUUCUAUGUCUUCAAGUUUUUCAGGAACGAAACUUUGUGAAAUCUGAUGAAGUAUAUUCAAAUAAGACAGUGUAAGACAUAAAGAUAUUUAUAGACUUGAUCUGCUUAUUUACAAUGUGUGAUAAAAUAUUUCCCUUGGAAAUACUUUCGUGGAUUAGGCUUGGCUUACAUUUUUAGCUAAACCUUAACACAGUUUAGUUAGUCUCAACCUAGCAUUCGCUUGAAACAAUCUUGAAUAGUAAAUGUAGCAAUUGAAAAGUUUUUGAGCCUUAAAAAUAUGGAUCAAGAUCAGAUCAGUUCAAAUUCGAACGAAUUCAAUUUUGAUACUUUUUCUACAAACUAUCUGCAAAUUCGAUAUGGCGAAGCUGGCGUGAUAUAAACAACGCAGAAUUCUGGACAUUUAUUGGUGUUAUAAUCAAUAUGGGUAAAAUGCCGUUUGUCAAUUUGCAAGAAUAUUGGCCGAGGAAUAUCGUCAAUUAUAAUCUUUUCUAUUCGGAUACAUUUACAAGAGAUAGAUUUAGUCAAAUAUUCUGGUUGCUUUAUGCUGAAAACUAUUUCAAUACGCAACACGAAUCCAAGAACGUGCCUACAACGAGUAAGUUGCUUUUUGGACUGUAUCAAUUCAAAGUUCUUGGAUUAUUUUAUACCGGGUGAGCAUAUAUGUGUGAAUGAGUCAACGAUAAAAUUCAAGGGUCGAAUUUCGUUCAUAAUAUACAAUCUUAAGUAACCGACAAAAUGGGAGAUCAGAGUUUAUACUCUAGCUAAUUCGAAGAUUGAUUAUAUUUGCUGCAUUUUGCCAUAUUAUGAAUCACUCAUAACAGAGCUCUUGGUCAGACCCGAUUUAUCUGUUUCAUUAAGAAUUCCGAUAGACUUGUACAAAAUAUUGUUGGAGAAAAUUCCAGGUGUUCAGGAGCACCAUAUGUACACGAAUCUUUACUAUACUAGUUAUGUCUUAACUCAAGAACUAGUCAAAUUGAAAUGCAAUAUCACCGGAACGAUCUUAACGAAUAGGAAAGAAUUGCCCAAGGAAAUAAAAAAGUCAAAUUUUUCGAAAAAAAAUAUUACACGAGAUGGUGUGGAAAUAAUGGUCAAGAAAUUCAAUAUUGUAUUAAAUUAUAUAAAAUAUAAGAUUGGGAAAAAAUGGAUUUCUUUUUCCCCAAUAUAAUGAUCGCGAUGAUUGAAUAAGUAUUACUAAUUGUGAAAUUGCAAAAUCUCACUCGAGAAAGCUUGUUUUUUUCCCCUGUAUUUAUUAUCUUUAUUAAUAAUUGUUUAAAUAAACUCUUGGUUAAAGAAUAAUUCAAAAAUAGAACCUGGGCAACUUUUUUUCUGUUAAAUCAAACUGCUACUGCACUCCGUCAUUAUCAUCCCUAUAAUUUAUAAUAAAUGAUUCAAAAUGUAGUAUUGCUGUUGGUAUUUUUCAUUGUCUUGAUAUUAUAAGUUUAUUGAGUCAUUCUAUUAACGACUUGUCAUCAUCAUUAAACUGUACGUCGCUGUCACUGUUAUUGAUUUCAUUAUCACUAAUAAUUCGAUCCCAUCGGAAUUGUCGAUUAUUACAAUCAACGAAAUCCAAGUGAAAACUGACGAAACAUACGCGAGAAUCAUCGAACGAAGAGACCUUGUAAAGUGGUACGCCAAAUAUCUCGUCCAAAGUGUAUGUGCUAAAUAACAUCGCAUAACGAGUCGCGAGAUAUUUUGUCUGCAGUUAUAAAAUGAUUAUACGAGAUUUAUCUCGUAUAUUUAUCAAUGCUGAAACAACACAAACUUCGUUUAAAUAUUAGUGGAAACAAAGCAUAAAAUAAAUUAGUCGGUAUCAAUCUAAUUGUCGUAACAGGCGAUUCCUUAAUCCUUAACACUCCGUGCGUUUCUCGAGUACUGCCUAUCAAAAACUCUGGCACAACAUUUUUCUCAGGAAUGCUUGAGAUAAAGGAAGUUUUAUUUUGAGCGGCAAAGAUUAUACGUCCUUGUAAAUGCAUUUGAUUUUAUUUAUUUUAUAAAUAUGCAUUGUCCUAUUGUAAAUAAAAGAUAAAUUAAAAAUUUUGUAAUUCACCAUGGUGUAAUAUCUUUGGAAACAAUCUGCCAUAUGCAUUCUGGGUUUACUUGGGCAAAUGUCACAGUAAUCACUUGUUUGACGUUUGCUAUCCAUUUGUUUCCUUUUAGAGCACACAACGCAGUCCCUCUUUGCACCUUUUCUCACUAUGUGAAUUAUUUUUCGUUUAGUUUGAUUUCAGAAAUUAAUGUAGAAACUCUUGUUCUAUCGUGACGAAAAUCUCCUACGAGUUGAUUGACUAAAAUUUUUCUAUACUGUAACUGCGUCAAUGCUUUCUCAUUUUUAUUAUACUGUACAGUUUUAUAGAGAAUGUAUGAAUUAAUUAUUGAUAUCUUCAUUCCUCAGAAAAACAAUUUCCGCUAGCACUUAAGCGAUUUCCUCAAAAAGCAAUAACUAGAAGCAUAUUGAUCAGCCCGAUCAACUCCACCCAUCAACUUUGUGUACCCGACAAUUACACUUGGCUUUUCAAUUACUUCGUUUGUACCACCUCCUAAAAAUCUUCUAGUAGUUAUCAUUUCAACAUUAUGCCAGUUGCUCAAUAACGAUAUUAUCCUCUUAUCCCUCUAAGCUAAGAGUAUUGUAUUUCCUUGUUUGUAUACGACAGUCCUUUUUUCAUAUAAUUUUGCUUUCUUCAAAGUUGUUGGAAUACCUUUUCUGUUUGUUUUUAUGGUACCAGUCAAGUGGCACUUCAGUUUUCUUAAUUAACGUAACAUCUUAAGCGUAAUCACAUGCUAAAAACAUUUGGCUCCGCAGCGGAGCCUUCGGAGUUAGGGAACAAAUGUCUCUGUAGCGGAUUCAACGAAGCGUUAAGGAUUAAUAAAUAUAACACGAUUCCCAUACACCAUAGGAACAUUGACAAAUUCUAAUCAUUUCUUUCUAUUAACUUUAUUUACGAAAUAUUUUCUAUGGGCUACUCUGCCAUGGUAUCCUGCAGUUCGUAAAAAAUUACGCACUGUACUACUGCACACAUUAAUUAUUAAGACUAUUUUUAAGUUUAGUAGCGAUGUUUACUGCAUAUAUCUUCCAAUUUUGUUUUAUUUCUUGAAUUAUUUAUUGACCAGUGUACUCAUUUAUUUUAUGUUUACGUUCGUUUCAUGGAUUACUUUUUAAAGUUUUUCGGUCUCCAUAUCUGUCAAUGAUUCUAUUUACUAUUCUAGAAAUUUCAUUGAAUGUUCUACAUUUAUUAGAAAAAUUUAUAAUAAUUUUCUUUUCUUUUUCAAUGGUUUCCUUACUUUUUCAUUUCAUGAAAAAGUGUAUGCGACAGUCCUUUUUUCAUAUAAUUUUGCUUUCUUCAGAGUUGGAAUAUCUUUUCUGUUUGUUUUUAUGGUACCGGUCAAGUGGUACUUCAGUUUUCUUUAUUAACAUAGCAUCUUAAGCGUAAUCACAUGCUAAAAACAUUUAGCUUUGAAGCUGAGCUUUCGGAGUUACCGAACAAAUGAUUGAUGUCUCCAUAACGGAGCCAACGGAGCGUUAAGGGUUAAUUAUAAACCGCAUGUCAUACAAUUCAAAUAUGAUUUUAACAAAGAUUCAGAAUUUAAUGCCAUUAAUAUAAGAAAAUCUGUAGCAUGAAGAUUACUUAAGGUUUGAAAAAUGUAAAGCAAUCAUUGUUAUAUCCUACAGAUAGAACUGUGACAAGAAAAAAGAGAAAAGAUAUGAUGGAUUUGUUGAAAUUAAUUCUUCCUAUUAAACUUGCUUAUUAUAAAAACUUACGAACAAAUUGACACGUCAUCUCAAUACAUACAUCUGAUAAAGAAGACAUCUUUUAUGUUGCUGAUGAAUCGAUCUAAACAAACUGAUAAUAAUAAUGCAGUAACAGGUUUUAUUCAUUUUUGCAAAAAAUCUUUAAUAAAAAAUGUAUAAUAAUUCUUCUGAAAUAAAAAGGAAUUUAAUGUUUUUA